UACAGAGGGGGCAAGCGUUGUUCGGAAUUACUGGGCGUAAAGGGCGCGUAGGCGGCCUUCUAAGUUGAACGUGAAAUCCCCGGGCUCAACCCGGGAACUGCGUCCGAUACUGGAAGGCUUGAAUCCGGGAGAGGGAUAUGGAAUUCCAGGUGUAGCGGUGAAAUGCGUAGAUAUCUGGAGGAACACCGGUGGCGAAGGCGACAUCCUGGACCGGUAUUGACGCUGAGGCGCGAAAGCCAGGGGAGCAAACGGG
rnacentral:rRNA from 1 species